UAUCUUACUGUGACUAGCAAUAUGGGUCAUACUUGACUAUAAAGUAUUUAUGAUUUUGAAAUUCACAAUUUGAGUUUUAUCGGAAAUCUUUGUCUGGCACCUGAGGCUGUUGGCUAAUCACUUUGGGCAUAUGGACAUACAUACCUUUGCCAGAUGGAUGGAUGCCCGGGGUUAUGGGUUAUGGGUGCAGUGUAUGGCCAUGGAAGAGGAUGAGGCAAACAGGUGCCACCCAGCUGGACAUGCACAAGCAGCUCUGGGAUCCAAACAGGUCUGUAUCAGGUGACCCGUAUCUCUCCUCUGUCCCUCCUGCUUCUUCCCUGGAACCUCCAUCUCACCUGA